UUUUUUAAUUUCUUUUCUGCAGAUUUGACUACGAUCAUCAAAUUAUAAGAAUGGUUUUUCUACACCAGUACAUAUAGACGGACACACAGUUACGAUAGCCUGUGGCAGCGGGAGGGGAAGCGCCAGGCGAAAUCUUCUUAGAUGGAAACUUCGCAGUCGAGCUUUAAUCAUAUAUCUCCCAACGGCCAAACUUUCUCGUGGGAUACAACUCUAACGCCAGCAACACUUUUAACAUAAAUCGGAUUCACACGGCAAAAGUACUUGCAAAUCUGCUGGGCACAACACUUCAUCAAAGAGGCACUCUGCUCGUUGACCAAACCAGAAAAAAAAAUGACACUGGCCUCCGUCCACUCUACAAGGAAGGCCAGUGUAGUUCCAAAUUUUGUUUAUCUAUACGAAGAAAAUAGAAACCAAACACCACGAAACAUUCACUACAUCGGUCAAACAUCCACUUUUAAUUUGGCUACUCACAUUGUAUGAUACACAAAUAAAAGUUCACACACAAAGUC